GGCUGCGGCUUUUCGGCGAGCGAAGGGACGGCUGGUCUGCGCGGGACUUGGCGGGGCUAAAAGCUGAGAAGUCCUCCUCAAAACGCCGAAGGGGCCCGUCGUUACCGCAGAUAACGCGGUGAGGAACGCCAAGGAGAGCGCGCAGGGAGAACAAAAGGACCCAGGGCUCACCCGUACCUCCAAGAUGCUUGCUUUUGAUGAAGAGGAGGAAGAAAAAAGAGGAGGUAGCGACCACACAUUGACCUUUCACUGUGAAUACCAAAGGAGAUAUUGAGGGUAAGUCUUGUUUUUGCUCCAUGGGGAGUCAGCAACACAGGGUUCCAAGAGUGAGACUAAAAUGAGCCGUGCUCUAACAAGGCCUUGUUUGCCAGAGUCAGACAAGAAUGGACCGUUACAAAACAUGGUGGAAUAUUUGUUAUUGUAGUACUGGAUUUCCAAAAUCCAUAGUCUUUUUGUGGCUGACAAGCUCACUCUUUUCUUUGCCUCGUUACUGCAGCUGUCGGAGGUCUGCACCCCUGCCUGGAAAACAUGAGCAGCAGCUAGAAAGCAAUCCUAGCAAAAAUCUGCAUCAUUCAUGCGUAAUCAGACAAAUGCUUGGGAGAUUUACAAAGGAGGGAGGAGGCAGAGAAAACUCACAAUGCUGCAAUCAUUUACAUUAUUUCUAGUUGCUUUGCAAGUGUCACUUUUAGGAUUAAAAUGCAUUAAGUGUAAUUUUCAUAUAGAACUUUGUGCUUUAGCUCAAUUGGGUUUUAAUUUGCAUCCUGUGGUGACCAAGUAACAUUUGGCAAAUAGACCAUGUCUGUUUAUAACACAUACCUCCAUUUUGUCUUGGUAGUAUUGUAUACAUAUUUACUUUAACUUGAAAGCAUACUCUGUAUUGCAGCUUACUGCUUACCUCAAAGAUUCUCUCCACAGCUCAUCCUGGAUGCUUUGUUCAGCUCAGGCCACACCUAACACCCAGGAUGGCAGUGCGAUACUGCAGGGAAGCCACUAGGUGUAGGAGCAGACAAUCACUGCUUUACACGUUUCUGUUCGGUGAUCCAGGAGGAAGAUACACAGGCAGCUCAUUUGAAGCACUGCAUUCUUGUAGUUCAUAGGAUUAUAGAACAGCCUGGGUUGAAAAGGACCACAGUGCUCAUCCAGUUUCAACCCCCUACUAAGUACAGGGUCACCAACCAGCAGACCAGGCUGCCCAGAGCCACAUCCAGCCUGGCCUUGAAUGCCUUCAGAGAUGGGGCAUCCAGAAUCUCCUUGGGCAACCUGUUCCAGUGUGUCAUCACCCUCUGUGUGGAAAACUUACUUCUAAUAUUUAACCUAAAUCUCCCCUGUCUUAGUUCAAAACCAUUCCCCCUUGUUCUGUCACUAUCCACCUUGUAAGCAGAUAUUCCCCCUCCUGUUUAUGUGCUCCUUUCAAGUACUGGAAGGCCAUAAUGAGGUCUCACUGGAACCUUUUCUUCUCCAAGCUAAACAAUCCCAAUUCCCUCAACCUUUCCUCAUAGGAGAGGUGCUCCAGCCCUCUGAUCAUUAGUGGCCAUCUUCUGGACCCGAUCCAAGAACUCCACAUCCUUCCUGUAUGCAGUACACCAGGUGGGGUCUCACAAGAGCUGAGCAGGGACAAUCACCUCCCCUUCCCUGCUGGCCACCCCUUUUCCAACGCAGCCCAGAAUACAGUUGGCCUUCUGGGCUGCACAUGCACACUGCUGGCUUGUGUCCAGCUUCUCAUCUAUCAGGCCCUCCACAAGUCCUUCUCCACAGGGCUGCUCUCAAGGAGAUCUUCGCCCAGUUUGUAUAAAGACCUGUAAUUGCUCAGACCCAAGUGCAGCACCCUGCACUUGGCCUUAUGACUGCUGACUGAAUCCAAAACACUUUGGAGUGUUUGUAGCCAGUCUGAUUUUGGUAUAUUGCUAGGUUUCAUUCAGGGCCACCUCAUGCUAACCCUAACCCUGUAGCAAGCACAGGAGCCAACCUAGAACAGCCAAGAUCAGAAUCCCAACUUUAUACAUUUGCACCAUGUUGGUGCUCCUCCACUGACAAUGCUUGUAGUUCUGCAGCAUGCUUCAUCUGUAAACACAAGCCUGAUUAUUCAAACUGUAUUUUACUAUGCUUUUUUUACCACUUUUAGUGGUUGACUUUACAUCAACAAGAGUAUUGCUGUUCUGUUUGCAUACGUAAGGGGGAAGGUAAAAAUCUUGAGUUCUUACCUGUCUUCAAACGUUCCAAAAUAUUUAGGUUAGAGACAUCAGCUGUCUACUAUGCAGCCAUUUCUCUCUACAAGAACCACAUUUUAAGAUUUGCCCAUUUUUUACUACUCCUGCUAUUUAAAAUUUCAUCUUCUCUCUUACUUGAUGACAUGAAAGCUUUGAUGUAACAGUAGAUGUUUAAUAACUUCCUCACCAACAAAGUUCACAUUCAUGAUGACUGGAUGCUUACAGAUCCAUGGGGUAGAAUAAAUAAUUUACUAACAUUAUAUUUAGUGCAAGGAGAAAGAUCUGACUCCUGUUGUACAAUAAUGGUAUUUUUAACAUAAAAUCUGAAAGAAAGACUACAUACCAGCUGUCAGCAUUUUAAAUAUGUUUAUUCAGCAGCUAUAACAGUCUGCCUCCAAAAAAUUGGAGUCCCCUUUUGUUUCUGAACCGUGUCAAGUGACAGAAAUGCCUGCUAGGAACAUCGAAGAAGCUACAUGGUGCACUCCUUUCUGAGAAACAGACAUGUCUAACAGGGAUUAAUCUCUCUGAGAAGGCAAAAUAUAAAUAUAUACACUCUAAAUCCACAACAACAGUUUAAACGCACUACAGUAAUUCAAGUGGGAUAAGAGUGAACAAA